rnacentral:miRNA from 1 species
UGCUCUUUACAUAAGAAAGUGA